ensembl:lncRNA
GGAAGUGAGAAAUAUCAACAUGUCUGUGUUUGUAGCCAGCAUUGUCAUCCAGAGGAUUUCGAAACUGAACUGAUAGGGUUGCCAUGUCGUCGACUGUUAAAAAGGGAUUCUAUUCAAUCUAUUUUUACCCUUCACUUCAAAGAGGAAGGCAUCCAAUCAGCCAACAUCAGAGCAACAGAAAAUAAGUCAAGCUGAGAGUCAGAUCCCAUCAACAUCAAGCUCAGCACCAGGAAUUAGUGUAAGUCACCUUCUAAAUCUUACUAAAAUCUACUAAGUCUUUCAAUGACUCCAUGAUGAGCAUAUAUAUAUAUACACACACACACUGGAGCUAGGCAUAAACUUGGUCCUUGUCUUGUUGUACAAGUAGGCAAGGACUUCUAUUGUAGUUUUCUCUGUGUUAUGGAGGCUUUGUUGAUUGUUCAUGCAAGGCUUUAAGUCUAAAUUGGAGAAAAGGAGGUAUUGGUAAGGAGGGAAUGGUGUGGGUGAUUGACUGGUGUCUGUUGGGGGUGGAUUUUGUGUGUUAAGGUUACUAUGCGUGAUCAAUUGACAUGAGGGGGGUGGGUAGAUAUAGUACCUCAUUUGAUUGUGUAUUGCAAACUUAAAUCUGUUUUACCUAAUUUCUACCAGCAUGUUACAUGUUCAACCAGUAGAAAAAUAACUCUAAACCACCCUUACUCCACACACAGAGACGCACAUAAAGCUGUCCCUUGCCCUCAAAGGCAAAUCUGACCGUAAUUAUAUCCUCCUGCUUACAAGCAGGAAGUACCAGUGACUCGCUUGAUACGGAAGUGAUCAGAUGACGCGGAUGCUACACUACAGGACUGUUUUACUAGCACAGACUGGAAUAUGUUCUGGGAUGCAUCCAAUGGCAUUGAGGAGUAUAGCACCUCAGUCACCUGCUUCAUCAAUAAGUUCAUCGACAACUUCGUCCCCACAGUGACCGUACGUACAUAUACCAACCAGAAGCCAUGGAUUACAGGCAACAACCGCAACGAGCUAAAGGCUAGAGCUGCUGCAUUCAAGGAGCUGGACACUAAUCCAGAUGCUUAUAAGAAAUCCCGCUAUACCCUUAGACAAACCAUCAAACAGGCAAAGCGUCAAUACAGGACUAAGAUUGAAUCCUACUCCACCGGCUCUGAUGCUCGUCGGAUGUGGCAGGGCUUGCAAACGAAGGUAACCUGGCCAAACGAGUUGCAAUUCAUCAUAUUUGUGACUUGAGUCUGACUAGAGUCCAAACGUCUGGUAACUACAGUCCAAAACUGAACUAAGUAGAUCCAAAUACUUUUUACAUUUUUAUUGUGGACAGCUGGAGAUGACAAGUUCAGGGCCCGGUUUCCCAAAAGCCUCUAAGUUCAUUUUAGAAACAUAUGGUUCUAAGAUUAACUUAACCUCAAGAUGCUUUUGGGAAACCGGGCCCAGGCACAUAAUAAUCUGUCUUUCUGCCUAGGAACUUCAAAAUGUAUGUCUCUUCUGCAGAACAAAUGACAGAACCUGUUUUCUAAAGAGGACCAUUUGUGAAAAAAUGUACAGAAAAUAGUCCAACACAAAGGAUGCAUUGUUGAAAAGGUUUUCAGAAUUUUUAUGCUGCCAAGAUUAUUUUCAUUGCUCAAGUGCUCAGCUCGUUUGAAGUACAUAACUGUUCAUCAAAGGAAAAUGAAAGAGUGUGGUAGAAUGGGGGGAUAAAUAGAUAGAGCAAGUUACUUUCUUUGACAAGCAUCUACCCCCAAUCAGUGGCUGACUGCUGUCAGUCCCAGCUAGGCUCCUGUGGAGAAUCUGUCUUGUCAAUAGCUGUGUGUGGUUCAAUAGCUGUCUGUGGUCCUCUUCGUCUUACACAAAAUGUCCUAUAUGGACGUGAGAGGCGACUGACUGACAUCCCUGCAGUUUGCAGUGACUAGUGUGUUUGUGUUAUGCCUACGUAGGGGUAGGUGUGUGAGAGUGUGUUUGUGUGUUUUUAGGAGAGAGAUUAUUUAUGUGUUGGCUUAAAUGUGUAUUUUGAGUGUGAUGUGUAUGUGAAUUUACAAACAAACAAGUGUCUAGAUCAGGGGUGUCAAACUCAUUCCAUGGAGGGCCGAGUGUCUGCAGGUUUUUUCUUUCAAUUAAGACCUAGACGACCUGGUGAGGGGUUCCUUACUAAUUACUGACCUUAAUUCAUCAAACAAGUACAAGGGUGGAGCACAGACAUUUGGAACACCGUGGAAUGAGUUUGACACGUGUUCUAGAUUUAGAUAAAUCACCCUUCCACUGCAGUAUACAGUUUGCAUGUGAAAUGAAAUGAUGCUAUGUUGAAUCACAUUUUCAUUCACUCUGGCUGACAUGUCAUUUGUCCUCACCAAGCCAGAUUAGACAGCACUCUCGCUUUGCAGCUUGUGCUGCAGUUCAUUGACCUUGGUCUCUAAAAAUAAAGAUGUAUCAAGAAUC